GCCGGCGGGUCUGAACUCUGCCGGCUGGUAAUCGGCUCAGGAAAGUGAUCCAGGCCGAUGUAAGAUGAGGAACGUAAUGGCAGUGGGUGGAGGAUCCUGGCUGAGACUCCAUGUGGAGGGAAGGCAGGACAGGAAGUAACAGAUCCAAACUUUAACCCCAAAGGGGAAAACCUGGACACAUCACCUUACAAGAUUUCUGGAGCAUGAAGAGGCCGUUGCCGUCGGGAACCAAGCCCCGCCUCCUCUGGUGCAUCACUGUGGCGGUCAUGGCGAAGAAGGUGAAGAUAAAGAGGAUGAAGGUCUGUCCCUCAGUGAUCAGGUACCUGAUAGGAGAAACAGGGAGGGUUAGUGGGUCUGUUCACUGCGCUGUGAGCAGAGGGUCACAGGCUCAAUCCCCACUGUGUUUUAAAACCAAAAUAUCAAUAACAAUAUAGUCUUAGGUAAUAGAGUAAUAAUGAAACCUAGAACCUUCUGUUGGUUCUGUUGUUGCAGGACUUUGGUCGACUGGGGAAGGCCCACAAGGUGUCACCUGUUUUAGCCACUUAACUUACUCCCAGGUCGAUGUUGAUGAGCACACAACGAUAACUCUGCAACUCAAAGAUGUUUAACAACUUGGAAAAUUCAUCUAGUUAAAAAAGUCAACAUUCAAAUUGCAAAAUCAGUAUAUAAAUUCAACAAAUGUGCUGAAAUUAGUUUUGUGUUUUACGUAAUUGUGUGUGUGGUACGUUUGUUUAUCCGACAACAUAACACUUAAUUAAUGUAGUGCUUUUUGGCAGCUAAGUGUCCUUGAACGCACCAACAAUGAGGGUUUUCAAAAGUGUCCCUGUUACAAUUCAAAGUGAGUGUGAUCCCAUCCACCUGUUUUUCAGCACAUUUCAGUUUGCGCAUAAAAAAAACUGAGUGGAAACAUCAGUAAUUCCAAAAAAAGUCAGAAUAUUGGCUGAGGUGUGAAAGUUGGUGUGUGGAUACAAAUCAAAUGGAAGCAGACUGAGAGAAUAAAUGAUGGCGUCCAUGAAGCCUGAAGAGCUGAAAGCAUCAGGUGUGUGUGGAGCGAUGAGGAGGCUGGAGCCUUCCUCACAUAAACACAUGAAGCCGACAGAAACAUCAUGUUUCUCACAUGGUUUCCCAUCGUCUGAGCUUCCACUGGAGCUCUUUUAGUGACGUCGUCUCGCUGCGUCCUCUUCUUCUGCGACGCUUUAACGGCAGCGGCUGGAGGAUCAGCUCCACCAGCUGUUUACCUCCAUCAGCCAAUGAGCUCGUGUUCUCGCAGCAGCAGCAGCGGGCGGAGACGCGCAUUAGUUUGUGGACUUUCUGGAAAUUUGGACGGAAACUUGAAUAAUAAUAUACACUUUAAAGCCACCAUGUGUAAAAUUGGAAAAGGUUCAAUGUUGAAAUUUGAUUUGAAAGAGGCUCUAAUCUCACAAAGAUUAUAAACGUAGUGGCUGGAAAAAUGAAGUUCAUGAAAUUGUGUACCAAGGCGACUGGUUCCUGAAAACUAAAAAUAAUGUUUUUUUUGGAAACUCUAGUCAGGAGUGAUGUGAAGGAUAUAUCAUCCUUUCAUCCUUUAGUGCUGUGCUCACUGAGUAAAGUAAUUAGUCAGCAACACCUGAGAACUACCUAAUCAAUUAUUACUAACACCUGGAGGCACUCACACACACACACACACACACACACACACACAGCCUCAGCUGCAGGUGUAUUGUUCAUCAGACACUAGUUACAGUUUCGGUUCAGAUUAUCUGGUGGGACAACAGUCACACUCUAACAAUGCAAAAGCACAUUGCAAAAUAAAAAACAACUUGAAGCCAGGAAGCAAUGGUGCAGCUGGUAGCCAAUCAGCAGGAGCCGUCGGGUGAUGGAGUCGGCCGCCAGGUGGAGGCUGGUUCCCAUGACGACGGCGAUGAUGCCGAGGUAGACGGCAGGGCGGGGCAG